ACAUAAUGCAGCAACUGUCCCCCUAACCCCGCACAGCGCUGAGAGAAGGGGCUGCAGCACACGCCCGGGCCAACGAAGAAGACUGGAAAGCAGGGGAGGCGUUUCCACGAGUCCAACCAGAGUUUCACAUUCGACAAACUCCCACCUCAUCAGCAUUUGGAAUCACCAAGAGGUCAGGAAACGGAACAGGGAAGUAAAAUGAUCACUAUUUGCAGAUGCCAGUGGGGUGCAAGCUCACAGUCCAAGCGCUUAGUGAUCAGAAGAUGAGGACACACAGCCCCGUCGAGUGUCCAGGCAGCCAGGGGAGUGUAGCCCAGUGGGCAUGCUCCACGUGAACAUGCAAAACGGAGGACACGGUGGAGGAGAAGACCUCGGCACAUUUGCAAGAAAAAGACAAAAGGGCUAGUCACAAACUUCACAAGACAUAAAGAAAGCCUGUAAGAGGAAACCUUAGAACAUCCUGAAAGAUACAAAAGCAGAAGAAAUGGAAAAACACUGCGCAACAGGUGGCAACAAUCACCCUCCCUGUGCUCACGCCCUCUGCAAAGCUGCGCCCCGGCCCUCCCAUCAGGACACAGCCUGGGCCCGGCCCCUGGAACCGGGGCUGGCUUCAGGGCUCACCCCAGAUGACUCCCAGCCUGGGCCUUCAGAGGCCAUGCAGCUUCCCCCUACCCUCCGGGCCACCAGGUGAGGAAGCCUGGGCCAGCCUGCAGGAAGAUGGGCCACACGGGGCGGAAAUGGAUCCACAGCCCCAGGCAGGCCGCCAGCCGACCGCAGCCACCCAGAUGCCCCAGGAGAGACCAGCAGAAGAACACCCUGCUGCGCCCAGCACAGACUGGAGACCCACGGAAUUGUGAGCCAAUAAAACGGCUUCAAAUUGGUUAAAUGGCAAUAGAAUGGUUGUUUUAAUUGGCCACAUUUUGAGGUGGUUUGUUAGAUAUUAGUACAUAAAUGACACCCAGACCAUUCUUUCUAAGUUGAUUUGUAAAUGUAAUUGAGUCAAUUAAAAUCUCAACAGGUCCCCCACCUGUCACCCCCAGAUCCAGACAAGCAGAUUCUACAGUCCACGUGGAAAAGCAAACAGGAAAGAAAAGGCAUGAGAAAGACCCAAGGAAUAGCCCUAAAAGACAUCACCACAUACUACGAAGCCUCGAGAAUUUACUGUGUGGUCCUGGCCUCUGAACAGCCUCGCAGACCCAUGAAACACACUAGCCAACAGUGUGCGGCUGUGAGAGGCCGUCCAGAGGCCCUGGGCACCUGGAGCAGGUGUGACCUGCAGCUGCGGGCAGGGGACUUGGAGUCCGUGUGCACUGAGCAUUGCGGCAGGCCAGACCAACAGCACACCUCGCCCAUGUAAGCACUCUCCGCUGUAUCUGUAUUUAGGCAAGUUUGUAUUUCUAUUAGUAUUUAGACACUGUUACAAUAAAUAGAAUACAGAAUUAACUUAAAA